GUUCUGAUGAUAUGAAGCGGGAGGAUGAGGGCCUAGUAUGUGAAUGUUCUGUAGUGGGAAGACAUAGGAAGAACAGAGAUAAUGAUACUGGAAGCAGAGGCGCAUGUAGUAUAGUAACUAGAGGCCCAAGACCUUAAUCUGAGGCCAGUAACAUCAACAGUGAGGACAAACGCAGCCUGUCUCUCUCCUUCCACACUGAGUAGGAACCUACAGUCACUGGGUCCUGAUUGUGACAGUGGAGCCCAGUUUGCACUGCAGGAUCCAGAGAUGGCAUCAGUGAAGCUGGAAGACUGCAGUCAAACACUGGAGCUGAAUGUCAACCUUAAAGAUGAAGAAGAGGAGGAGAAGAUUAGGACAACUGUUAGUCAUGGAGACCAUGUUGAGACAUUCUCUACAUCCAGAGAGCAUCAGCAGGAAGAUCAGAGAGCUAAGAGGUCUCAUCACUGCCCACAUUGUGAAGACAUUUUCCCAUUUCAAUCAAAGCUAAAAAUACACCUAAAAAUACACACAGGAGAGAAGCCUUACUCCUGCUCUGACUGUGGAAAAUGCUUCAAAACAUCAACUCAGCUAAAAGUUCAUCAGAAGACACACACAGGAGAGAAGCCUUAUUCCUGCUCUGACUGUGGAAAACGUUUUAAAACAUCAAC